GACGAACGCUGGCGGCGUGCUUAACACAUGCAAGUCGAACGGAAAGGCCCUGCUUUUGUGGGGUGCUCGAGUGGCGAACGGGUGAGUAACACGUGAGUAACCUGCCCUUGACUUUGGGAUAACUUCAGGAAACUGGGGCUAAUACCGGAUAGGAGCUCCUGCUGCAUGGAGGGGGUUGGAAAGUUUCGGCGGUUGGGGAUGGACUCGCGGCUUAUCAGCUUGUUGGUGGGGUAGUGGCUUACCAAGGCUUUGACGGGUAGCCGGCCUGAGAGGGUGACCGGCCACAUUGGGACUGAGAGACGGCCCAGAGUCCAACGGGAGACAGCAGUGGGGAAUAUUGCACAAUGGGCGGAAGCCUGAUGCAGCAACGCCGCGUGCGGGAUGACGGCCUUCGGGUUGUAAACCGCUUUCGCCUGUGACGAAGCGUGAGUGACGGUAAUGGGUAAAGAAGCACCGGCUAACUACGUG
rnacentral:rRNA from 1 species